rnacentral:rRNA from 1 species
GACAGAGGUGCCAAGCGUUAGGCGGAAUCACUGGGCUUAAAGCGUGUGUAGGCGGCCCGUUAAGUGUCUUGUGAAAUCCCCCGGCUCAACCGGGGAAGUGGCACCGAUACGGGCGGCCUGGAGGGGGGUAGGGGGGCCUGGAACUUCCGGUGGAGCGGUGAAAUGCGUUGAGAUCGGAAGGAACGCCCGUGGCGAAAGCGAGGCCCUGGACCCUUACUGACGCUGAGACGCGAAAGCCAGGGGAGCGAACGGG